GGGCCGUUAGCUCAGUUGGUAGAGCACCGGACUUUUAAUCCGGGUGUCGCGGGUUCGACCCCCGCACGGCCCA
rnacentral:tRNA from 2 species